GGAGACGGACAGACGAUCGCGACACAGGUGUCGAGGAAAGUCCGGACUCCACAGGACAGGGUGGUGGAUAACGUCCACUCAGGGUGACCUGCAGGAAAGUGCAACAGAGAGCAGACCGCCGCGAUCCAUGAUUGGGUGCGCGGUAAGGGUGAAAGGGUGGUGUAAGAGACCACCGGCGCGCUAGGUGACUAGCGCGGCCAGGAAAACCCCACCCGGAGCAAGACCGAGCAGACUACGUGAUCAGGCGGUCCGCCGAAGUAGUCGGGUUGGUUGCUUGAAGCCGCCAGCAAUGGCGGCUCUAGAUAGAUGAUCGUCCCGCGGGGUGCGGUAACGCGUCACGCGUACAGAAUCCGGCUUAUGGCCGUCUUCUUCC
rfam:Arthrobacter albus DNF00011 contig01, whole genome shotgun sequence.